rnacentral:rRNA from 1 species
CAGCAGCCACGGUAAUACGAAGGGUGCAAGCGUUAAUCGGAAUUACUGGGCGUAAAGGGCGCGUAGGCGGAUCUUUAAGUCAGGGGUGAAAUCCCAAGGCUCAACCUUGGAACUGCCUUUGAUACUGGAGAUCUUGAGUCCGGGAGAGGUGAGUGGAACUGCGAGUGUAGAGGUGAAAUUCGUAGAUAUUCGCAAGAACACCAGUGGCGAAGGCGGCUCACUGGCCCGGUACUGACGCUGAGGCGCGAAAGCGUGGGGAGCAAACAGGAUUAGAUACCCGCGUAGUCCCUGUCUCUUAUAC